UAAAGAAAUCGUUUUUGAAAUGUUGUCGAUUAGUACACAUUUGGCAAUGGGCAUGUUUAUCUCUAUAUGCGAUUUCAAAAGCCCUUUCAUUUUUUUUACGUAAAAUAUAGUUAGAAAAGUAAAAAAUGUCAUAGUUUUAUAUGACGGAAAUUGUUGCGUUUUUUUUUUAACGGUAUUAUAAAGUUCAGGCCUGUUUUACCUACUUAUAUCAGAUACCUAUUUAUUUAAACGUUUCGAGUUCAAAUUUUAACAAAGCUCAUAGAUAUAACGCAUAUAUUAACUAUUGUAGUUGAAAAUCGAUUAAAUUAAAAAUUUAGUUCAACAUACGUUUAAUUUCAGUUUUUUCUUUCUAAAAUCCCACCAUCUACGGCGCUGCUCGAGGAACUUUUGUUGUGUAAGUACAUCAGCUGUAUAGUAUGCGGACGUAUAAUGGAGGUAAAGUGGAACCUCGAUUGAGACAAAAACCCUAGGCAAGUCGAAAUAAAUGACGUCUCCUUACGAAAAUCUCAAUUACUCAAAAAAAAAAACUAAGAUAACACGUACAUUCAGUGUUCCGAAUAUAGAUGAAAUGAACAAUUCGGCAUAGCAGCAAACACACUAUCUAUUCUAUAGUUAUUAUGAAAAAUAGUAAGGAAACUAAUUUGAAUUUUUUUCGUCGAACGAGGAAUAGAGGCCCUGCAUUUUCGGACGUAGAGAAUGCGCACUUCAAUGGUUUCAGCAGUAUUAUGCAUCGAUGCUAAUGUCGAUAUUAAAAACAGAAAAAUACAUUUUAAAAACUCUUCAAGUCGAAAAACCUUGACAAGUCGAAAAACUAGAAUUCCCCUCGGAUUUCGACUUAUCGAUGUUCCGCUGCAUAAUACAUAAUACUUUUAAACCUGCGCAGUAUUAUAUUAUACUAUUAUGGUUUACCAAUUAAUCGCCAACCAAUACGUAAUGUAUAUACGCACAUAGAUCAUAAUUAUUUAUAAAAUACAAUCGGCAGAAAACCGAACCGCUUGACCCUAUUCGCGCGGACGUGUCGCAAGGGUCUUCGGCGCGCGCGGACUCGUU